rnacentral:rRNA from 1 species
UACGAAGGGGGGCUAGCGUUGUUCGGAAUUACUGGGCGUAAAGCGCACGUAGGCGGACAUUUAAGUUGGAGGUGAAAGCCUUGGGCUCAACCCAAGAAUUGCCUUUGAUACUGGAUGUCUCGAGACCGGGAGAGGUGAGUGGAAUUCCGGAGUGUAGAGGUGAAAUUCGUAGAUAUUCGGAAGAACACCAGUGGCGAAGGCGGCUCACUGGCCCGGUUCUGACGCUGAGGUGCGAAAGCGUGGGGAGCAAACAGG